UACGUAGGGUGCAGGCGUUAAUCGGAAUUACUGGGCGUAAAGCGUGCGCAGGCGGUUCGUUGUGUCGGCGGGGAAAGCCCCGGGCUUAACCUGGGAAUGGCCGUUGAAACUGGCGAACUGGAGUGUGGCAGAGGGGGGUGGAAUUCCGCGUGUAGCAGUGAAAUGCGGAGAGAUGCGGAGGAACACCGAUGGCGAAGGCAGCCCCCUGGGCUAACACUGACGCUCAGGCACGAAAGCGUGGGGAGCAAACAGG
rnacentral:rRNA from 1 species